CUAUCGAAACGGGGCAGCUGAGAAUAUGUUACGCGAUAAGCGAUACGCUGUGGCUUAACGAUUUUCAGAUAGCACGAAUGCCAGCAAUCGUGCAACGUAGGAGUUCAAAGGGAGACAUGGUCAGUGUGGUUGGGUGCAAGCAACGUGUCAUUGUGGUUAGAAAAAAUGAAUCAGUAUACAUGUGAUUUAACUGUCAAAGCCGGAAUGUUUAAAGCAUACAUCCCGCCCAAGGCAUGCUGGGAUGAUCUACUAUCAGGCAGCUUGGAAGCUUCCAGACGCCGAUAUGCCUUACGUUCGGUGCAGCCGAGGUUAUGAACUGUCAAGUGGAAGAUGCCCCUUGAGGAAAACAAUUAGGAUCGACUGUCCAGCGUGGAGAUUGCGGAAUCAGCAGCUGACAUAUUGACUGAUGAAACAUGAUGGUGCGUGCAGCAAGAGAGGGUUUGACUGCAGAACCUGACCACCUGCUCCUGUAAAUUUGUACCAACCACAGGCGAAAACAAGGGGAAACGCUUUGAAUACCUGCGGUCUUCUAUCAGCUAGACAAGUCCCUGAAGCUAUAAAUCAAUAAACUGAUGUA